rnacentral:misc_RNA from 1 species
UAAUAUACGAAUAAAAUUCGAUUCGAUUCCAAUAGAACUUUAAACCCUUGACCGAUUUAAUGAUCAGCUCUAAGCGUAUCUACAGAAAACAAAUGGAUAAGAUGUUGCAUGCUCACUCCAGCUUCUCUGCACCAUGCCAAUGCUUUUGAUUAAGCGGAGAGGGACAUGCCGACAUCUCAGCUCAAAUUGCUCUAGAGAGGAAACAAUGUAAUGUUUCUGAUCAAAGUUCACAAAAUGUUUUUGUGUGAGAGCAUAUUAUCAAAUCAACCUUAAUUUAUUAUAUCUAAUCAAUAUUCAAUUCAAUUUUUCUAUACUUCUUAUUAGAAUAGCCUUGCAUGGAUGGCUGCAUCGUUGCUUGGACCCAGUAAAAGCACUGCAAUUUAUGAACCCGAAAGGAAUGGAAUCUCAGCUAGUGUUGUGGGUAGGGAGACGUUAAGGUUAUGAACUGCUAAGUAUGCAGCAAUGCCAGCAGCAUAACCAGCAAAAGCAAAACCACUCACCUUCCGGAAGUACCAGAAGAAGUCCACCUUUUCCAUCCCCAUAUAUGCAACUCCAGCAGCAGAGCCGAUAACUAGCAAGGAACCGCCAGUACCAGCACAGUACGCAACUAACUGCCAAAACUCAGAAUCCUGAGGAAAUGAGGUGAGAUCAUACAUUCCCAUCGCUGCUGCAACCAGUGGAACAUUGUCUAUAAUUGCUGAUACCAACCCUAUUGCAGUUGCAACAAGUUCAACAUUUGGAAUAUGCGCAUCAAGGUAAUUUGCCAAUUCGCGAAGAAUCCCUGCUGCCUCCAGGCUGCUGACUGACAAAAGGAUUCCAAGGAAAAAAAGGGCUCCUUGAGUGUCAAUCCGAGAUAAAGCCUGCGGUACUUUUAACUUCUGCCUUUCUGAUUCACCAUAAUGAAUAGCAUCUGUAACAAUCCAAAGUACUCCAAGCCCAAGAAGCAUGCCCAUAUAUGGAGGCAAUCCAGUUAGGGCCUUGAACACUGGAACAAAAAUCAAAGCACCAAAACCCACAGAAAAAACAAGCUGUCCCCGAGGAGCCAUACGUUCAGAAGCCAAAACAUUAGGGGAUUCCUGUUCCUUCCCAUUAACUUCACUGCAUGGGAGAAGACAAGCUCCUAUGACUUCAACCGUGAAUUUAAACUAAAACUUUCAGUACUUUAAUCCCUUACUUCAAUUUGCAAAUGCAAUAAGAGUACCUAGUGAGAGACAUAAGAGCCAGCGGAAUAGCUAGAGAAACAACUGAAGGUACUAGCAAACCCUUCAUUGUUGGCAAUGUGGAUAUCUGACCAUGUAUCCAUAGCAUUGUAGUUGUAACAUCACCUAUAGGAGUCCAUGCACCACCUGAGUUCGCUGCAAUCACAACAACAGCUCCUAGAAGCCUGCGGUAUUCUGAUGGAGGUACUAGUUUCCUCAACAAAGAAACCAUUACAAUGGUAGAUGUCAAGUUGUCAAGGAUUGAACUAAGGAAAAAUGUCACAAACCCAACCACCCAAAGUAGAGUCUUGGGCUUUCGAGUGGUUAUAUUGUCAGUGACCAGCUUAAAUCCUUGAUGAGCAUCAACAAUCUCCACGAUGGUCAUGGCACCAAGCAAGAAAAACACGAUCUCACUUACUUCUGCAGAAGCAUGUGUCAACUCCGAAACAGCUAUUUCAGUUGAAGGCGCCCCAAUGCUUCGAACUAUCCAUAAGCUCACAGCCAUCAGUAAUCCUACUCCACUUUUGUUGAAAGCUAGAGACUCUUCAAAAAUGAUGCCUGCAUAUCCAAUUCCGAAGAGUAAUGCCAUAGCAAGAUCCUGAUUGGCUGCAACCCAGGAAUGGUUAAUUGCUGCAGCCCCUGUUGCAGCUGCUGCGAAAACUGCAAGAGCUUUUAGCAAAUCAGUCUUUGGCUGGUAAGUGGCUGCAAAAUCUUGUGAACUAGUUUCAUCAACUGAACAUAAAGGAUCACAUGAACCAGCUUCUGAUGUCAGCUCCUGAAGCUGCUUUUCACUACUGGGCUGUUGAGCAUGUCCCUGUAUUGAAGAAGAAGAAGAAGAAGACCCUCUAGCCUUAUCUUCAGCUCUAGCAAGGAGACCACUGCCAAGCAAUCUUGAACCUAAUCUAAGCGGAGACAAAGCGAAACAGGACCGAGAAGAAAGUGAAGAUAGAUGAACGGGAGAUGGAAAUCGGACAGAGUGUUUCUCGAAUUGAUUGAAUGGAUUGAGAUGGUGUAAUCCAAUUGAGAGGGAAGCCAUUGCAGGUGAUGUUUUCAAGAAGAAAGUUAGAGAUUGCAAAGGAGAAGACGGUGGUUUUGGUCAGUUUAGAGGCUUUGUUGGUUUGCUUGGCAGUUGCAUGGAGGAGAGAGAUUGAGCAGUUUUUGGAGGAUAAUAUGGAAAUUGCUACUGCCAGGGGCCAUAGGAGCUUGGAAGGAGUGGCUUUGCCGGUGAAUAUUUCAGUCAAUUUUUACAAGAU